rnacentral:rRNA from 1 species
GGGUCAGUAGAUUGGUCGUGCCACUGGUAUGUACUGGUCUUACUGGCUCCUCCUUCCUGAUGAACCGUAAUGCCAUUAAUUUGGUGUUGCGGGGAGACUGGACUGUUACUUUGAAAAAAUUAGAGUGUUUAAAGCAGGCCUAUGCGCCCGAAUACAUUAGCAUGGAAUAAUAAAAUAGGA